UACGUAGGGCGCGAGCGUUGUCCGGAAUUAUUGGGCGUAAAGAGCUCGUAGGCGGCUUGUCGCGUCGGAUGUGAAAGCCCGGGGCUUAACUCCGGGUCUGCAUUCGAUACGGGCAGGCUAGAGUGUGGUAGGGGAGAUCGGAAUUCCUGGUGUAGCGGUGAAAUGCGCAGAUAUCAGGAGGAACACCGGUGGCGAAGGCGGAUCUCUGGGCCAUUACUGACGCUGAGGAGCGAAAGCGUGGGGAGCGAACAGG
rnacentral:rRNA from 1 species